CAGAAACACCUCUGUUGUAUCUCUCGUCUCCUGCAUUAAAGCCGCAGGCGCCGUUGCUACGCAGAGCCCUGUGGAGACCAAGCCGUAACCCGGCUCACUCAUCAGAGCGACAGGGAGAGAAAAUGUCAGCCCGCUGAAGUAAAUGGAGUCGAUUCCGUCAACUCCUACGGUGGGAUUCGAGAAUUGGAGUUGACUCCGAAAAACCUGGAAUCGAACACCCCUAGCUACUGACAGGAUGCUUUCUGUGUGCGCGCUCCAAGCGGAACAAGUGUUCAGUCAAAUCCACACAAUAUGUCAAAAUGCCCGCCUUGUAAAUGGAGUUGAUUCCAUCGACUUCUACGGUGGCAGUUGGGAAUCAGAGUCGACUCUGAAAAACCUGGAAUUGAACACCCCUAGCUACCGACAGGAUGCUUUCUGUGUGCGCGCUCCAAGCGGAACACGCAACACGGACAAGCAUAGUAUCCUUUGUGUUCGUGCCUAAACGGUAAAAUCCACACAUGUCAAAAUGCCCGCCUUGGUGCAAAGUGCUUUUUUGUUGUUCUCUUUUGGAAAAAUACAUUAAAACAAAAAUGAAAAAAUGGCUCCUGACCCCUGCCCUAGCAUAAUGACAAUGAGUUUUGCAAGGUCAAGCACCAAAAAAUCGUUGUUUUCAUUUAGAGAUUUUUUUUUUUCUUUUAUCAUUUUCACACCUUUUUACCUUUGUCGUGAAUUGUAGAUAUUUACUUCCACAACUUCUUUUGAAUUGUAAUUUGAGAUUUAAAGACACACAGUCACCCAUUGCAGUCAGAUGUGUUGACACAAUUUAUUCGAAGCCCUUUUGAAGUUUAAUGAAGCCCUGACUUGCAUAAACAGUUUGGCUCUCAGCUCAUGUCACUCUUUUUAAUGUUGACAUGGUGCUAAAUAUUAUUACAAAAAUGGUGCUAAUAUUCAACCUUGUCAAGCAAUUCUAUGAAUGAAUUUACAUGAGGGUCAUUAGUUAACUGUAAUUAUUAUGGCCAGGUCAGUCUUGCAGCAUAACCCUUCAGUCUGUUUUAAUGAAGCUUUAAUUAUGGUUAUGCAUGUGUUUAAAUACCAAUGUUAUAUAUUGUGGUUUCUCAGCUAAAGAAUAAAUGAGUGAUACAUGUUGCUGAGGCAUGUUUAUAUUGUACAUUAUUGCUUUUUUAUCGUGGGUUAUAUUGCACCAUAUUUUUCUGAGGAAUAUGUCUCAUAAUUAUAGUGCAUUACAGUGUAAGCUGAGCUGUCCAGAUGUGCUUUACUAAUGUUGUUAAAAUGGCUGCUCUACCAUAAAACCACAAUAAAUAAAAGCAGGCUGCAUCUCAGUUACUGCA